CCUGUUCUAAAGAAAGAUGAUAUGGCACUAGAAAAAGUGCAAAGACGAGCUACAAAAUUGAUAAAAGGACUGGAGUAUUUUAGUUACGAAGAAAGGUAAAAAAAAUGAAAUCUGUUUAGUUUGGAAAAACGGUGCCUGAGAGGGGAUAUGAUAACAUUAUACAAAUAUAUUCGGGGCCAGUACAUACCUUUAUCUGGAAAUCUAUUCAUAAACAGGGUUAUACAUAGGACACGAGGUCACACAUUUAGCCUGGAAGAAAGGAGAUUUCGUCUAAGGCAAAGAAAAGGGUUUUUUUUACAAUAAGAGCAAU